rnacentral:rRNA from 1 species
UACGUAGGGUGCGAGCGUUGUCCGGAAUUACUGGGCGUAAAGAGCUCGUAGGCGGUCUGUCGCGUCGGCUGUGAAAACUCGGGGCUCAACUCCGAGCUUGCAGUCGAUACGGGCAGGCUAGAGUUCGGCAGGGGAGACUGGAAUUCCUGGUGUAGCGGUGAAAUGCGCAGAUAUCAGGAGGAACACCGGUGGCGAAGGCGGGUCUCUGGGCCGAUACUGACACUGAGGAGCGAAAGCGUGGGGAGCGAACAGG